rnacentral:tRNA from 1 species
AUUUAUAUAGUUUAAGUAAAACAUUACAUUUUCACUGUAAAAAUAGAGAUUUAUCUUUUAUAAGUA